rnacentral:tRNA from 1 species
GCCUGGGUGGCUUAGUCGGUUAAGCAUCUGACUUCAGCUCAGGUCACGAUCUCGCGGUCCGUGAGUUCGAGCCCCGCGUCGGGCU